UACGUAGGGUGCAAGCGUUGUCCGGAAUUAUUGGGCGUAAAGAGCUCGUAGGCGGUUCGUCGCGUCGGCUGUGAAAACCUGAGGCUCAACCUCAGGCCUGCAGUCGAUACGGGCGGACUUGAGUACUGCAGGGGAGACUGGAAUUCCUGGUGUAGCGGUGAAAUGCGCAGAUAUCAGGAGGAACACCAGCGGCGAAGGCGGCGCUCUGGGCCGGAACUGACGCUGAGGAGCGAAAGCGUGGGUAGCAAACAGG
rnacentral:rRNA from 1 species